AGUGAACGCUGGCGGUAGGCCUAACACAUGCAAGCCGAACGGCAGCACAGUAAGAGCUUGCUCUUACGGGUGGCGAGUGGCGGACGGGUGAGGAAUACAUCGGAAUCUACUUUUUCGUGGGGGAUAACGUAGGGAAACUUACGCUAAUACCGCAUACGACCUACGGGUGAAAGCAGGGGAUCUUCGGACCUUGCGCGAUUGAAUGAGCCGAUGUCGGAUUAGCUAGUUGGCGGGGUAAAGGCCCACCAAGGCGACGAUCCGUAGCUGGUCUGAGAGGAUGAUCAGCCACACUGGAAGUGAGACACGGUCCAGACUCCUACGGGAGGCAGCAGUGGGGAAUAUUGGACAAUGGGCGCAAGCCUGAUCCAGCCAUACCGCGUGGGUGAAGAAGGCCUUCGGGUUGUAAAGCCCUUUUGUUGGGAAAGAAAAGCAGCAGGUUAAUACCCCGCUGUUCUGACGGUACCCAAAGAAUAAGCACCGGCUAACUUCGUG
rnacentral:rRNA from 1 species